CGGCCGGGUGGAGAUAGGAAGGGGGGAUGGGGGGAGGGUUGUGUGGCAGAAGGGGAAGGGAAACAACAGGUGUUGUACAUAGCCUGCAUUUGGUAGAUGUAUAUAAUAUAUAUACAGACAUCCGGUGGUAAAUACAUGAUACAGACAAGACCAGUUUAGUGGGUAUACACUGUGCUGAUAGGGUUACUGUUACAGGGGUAAGGAGAGUAGGAACAGAGAAACAUGUUGAUGGUGGCGAUGUUAUAUAUUGUAUAUAAAUGCUAGCAUAGGGUAGUGUGUUUCUGUCAGUGUUAUUUUGAGAAUAACUUUAAAUACUUUGGUGUUGAAAGCAGUAUAGUGAGAUUGUGAUGUUUGUGUUAAAUACUUUGGUGUUAAAAGCAGUAUAGUGAGAUUGUGAUGUUUGUGUUAAAUACUUUGGUGUUAAAAGCAGUAUAGUGAGAUUGUGAUGUUUGUGUUCUAUUGACAGAAGUGAGUGCCUGUGAGGAGGAGCACACUGCUGUACUUUAGCGCCGUGUGUGUGUGUGUGUGUGAGUGAGGAGGAGGAGCACACUGCUGUACUUUAGCGCCGUGUUUGUGUGUGUGUGUGUGUGUGUGUGUGAGUGAGGAGGAGCACACUGCUGUACUUUAGCGCCGUGUGUGUGUGUGUGUGUGUGUGAGGAGGAGCAUACUGCUGUACUUUAGCGCAGUGUGAGAGACUUUAUCUCUGUGCCCUGUGUGUGUGCGUGUGUGUGUGUGUGUGUCUGUGGCCUGGGUCUCUAUCAUUAUGCCCAGUGUGUGUGUGUGUGUGUGUGUGUGUGUGGCCUGGGUCUCUCAUUAUGCCCAGUGUCUGACAUCUAAUCUCCCCCCAGCACACUCCGAGGGGGGAGGGGGGAGGGUGCAGCGUGCCAGUCACUCAGAAUUACCACUUUACCAAACUUCACACUACAGUCUAAUGCACCACUGUCUGGAUAGAACUACAAGUUGGAUUUCUGGAUAGAAAUCAAGCCACAAUCCUGAAGGACCUGUGAUGGUGUACAUUAUAUAUUAUAUAUGUUUUAUUAUUUUUAUAAUAUUUAAUUCAUUCAGAAUAAUCAACACACUCUAGAAAUGCUAUAGAUUUAUUUGACACUAGUAGAAAAACAGGAAGAACAAAUGAAACAGGAAAUAGGACCUGACAUGAGAACAGAACUCUGGGAAGCAUUUCCAUAAAUAAUGAAAGAAAAGUCACACACACACACACGCACACACACACAGGCGUAACAGGACACUGAAACUUCUACUCUAAGAUGGCAGAAAAGAGACUGAAGACCUGAGGUAAAACAUCAGAGAAACCUCUCCUCAGAAGUCCAGAUAUUUUUUAAGUUUUUCUUUUCUUUCUUUACGAUAUAUAUACACACACACACACACACCUAUCUGGGUGAGGACACACACUUCAGAGCUACCCAGAAAGCAUCUGGUUUACAUGACAUACAGCAGUUCCACCAUUCUGCUCUCGCAUACUCAGAUGGACGACACCCCCCCCCCCCCUUAUUAGGACAUCUCUACACCCCC
ensembl:lncRNA